GUCAGGGUGGCCAGGCUCAGGGUCUCCUCAGAGUCUGGACUUCUUCACAGCGCCUCUUCUGGGGAGGCUGAGGUGAAGAUAAACCUGCCUUCUUGACAGCAGUCUCCUCUUAGACCAGGUCUAGUGAGGCCAUCUUCUCAGAGCCUGGAGACUCCUCACAGCCCAGUUCUCAUGAGGCUGAGAUGCCCUCAGUGAAUAUCCAGGAUGGCAGGAUGCAGUUCUGAAAAAAAUUAUAGGCUUUCAUCCAGAUUAUUAUGGGCUUAACAUUUUCCGUAUUUCUUUACUUCGUCUUAGUACCUGUGGGAUCUGCAGUAUCCCCCUUCUCAUUCCUUAUAAAAUGAAACUCUGCUCUCUAUCUUCUACCAUACACAGCUCUGCACCAAAUGUGCCAUAGACCUGAUACCUUGAAAAUGCCAAAGGACACAGUAGAGAAAAUACUCCCACUGCUAAGCACAGCAGCAGAAUCUGGAAGAAGAGAAGUUAUACAGUUGCCCAGCAGGGAUGCCCCUUUGCUGUCUCAGCCUGGAUGCCUGUGGCGACAGUUGCAGUAGGAACAGCCCACCUGGAAGUCUUCCUGUCAGCAUCAUUGGAACCUGGGAACCCACAAUUUCCUGCUCUUCACCAAGUUCUGGAUAGCCAAACCACAAGAAACCACUCUAAGGCAGAAAGCCACGGGUUGAUCAAGAAAAGUACCAUGGAAGGGCCAAUGAGAUGGCUAAUUUAGUGGACGGAAAAUGCUUACUCUUCCUAAUUUGUUCAUUGACCUCCAUAUGAACAGAAUGACAAAAUGGCAUGGCAUGUAUUGUAUGUUCAUUCUCUCUCUAUUGUAUGUAUGUAUUUAUUUCCUCAUCUCUAAAUAAGUAAAUAGAUAGAUGUAAUUAUUUUAAAUACCAGUCAGAAAAUAUCUAUACACUCAUCAUAUGAAAUACUUAAUUUUUAAAAUAAUGAAAAAAAUCUCAUGCAGCUCACAACUGUUUGUAACUCCAGGACCAGAAGUU